rnacentral:rRNA from 1 species
UUAAGCCCCAGUAAACGGCGGCCGUAACUAUAACGGUCCUAAGGUAGCGAAAUUCCUUGUCAGGUAAGUUCUGACCCGCACGAAAGGCGUAACGAUUUGGGCGCUGUCUCGGCAGCAGACUCGGUGAAAUCUUAGUACCUGUGAAAAUGCAGGUUACCCGCAACUAGACGGAAAGACCCCAUGGAGCUUUACUGUAGCCUGAUAUUGAAUUUUGAUCAAAGAUGUACAGGAUAGGUGGGAGGCGAAGAGACGUGUACGCCAGUAUACGAGGAGCCGCUGUUGGGAUACCACUCUUGUUUGAUUGAAGUUCUAACCUGCACCCAUGAACUGGGUGAGGGACCGUGUCAGGUGGGCAGUUUGACUGGGGCGGUCGCCUCCUAAAGAGUAACGGAGGCGCCCAAAGGUACGCUCAGAUUGGAUGGAAAUCAAUCGACGAGUGCAAAUGCAGAAGCGUGCUUGACUGUGAGACAAACAAGUCGAACAGGGACGAAAGUCGGGAUUAGUGAUCCGGCGGUGCCGAAUGGAAGGGCCGUCGCUCAACGGAUAAAAGCUACCCUGGGGAUAACAGGCUGAUCUCGCCCAAGAGUUCACAUCGACGGCGAGGUUUGGCACCUCGAUGUCGGCUCAUCGCAUCCUGGGGCUGAAGUAGGUCCCAAGGGUUGGGCUGUUCGCCCAUUAAAGCGGUACGCGAGCUGGGUUCAGAACGUCGUGAGACAGUUCGGUCCCUAUCUGUUGUGGGCGUUGGAGAUCUGAGGAGAGCUGUCCUUAGUACGAGAGGACCGGGAUGGACCUACCGCUGGUGCACCAGUUGUUCCGCCAGGAGCAUAGCUGGGUAGCUAAGUAGGGAAGGGAUAAGCGCUGAAAGCAUCUAAGCGCGAAGCCUACUCCAAGAUGAGAUCUCCCAUUCGUAUAACGAAGUAAGACCCCUUGAAGACGACGAGGUGGAUAGGUCAGAGAUGGAAGUGUAGCGAUACAUGGAGUUGACUGAUACUAAUAGGUCGAGGACUUAAUCAC